rnacentral:rRNA from 1 species
AACGAACGCUGGCGGCAUGCCUAACACAUGCAAGUCGAACGAAGCCUUCGGGCUUAGUGGCGCACGGGUGCGUAACGCGUGGGAAUCUGCCCUUGGGUUCGGAAUAACAGUUAGAAAUGACUGCUAAUACCGAAUGAUGUCUUCGGACCAAAGAUUUAUCGCCCAAGGAUGAGCCCGCGUCGGAUUAGCUAGUUGGUGAGGUAAAGGCUCACCAAGGCGACGAUCCGUAGCUGGUCUGAGAGGAUGAUCAGCCACACUGGGACUGAGACACGGCCCAGACUCCUACGGGAGGCAGCAGUGGGGAAUAUUGGACAAUGGGCGAAAGCCUGAUCCAGCAAUGCCGCGUGAGUGAUGAAGGCCUUAGGGUUGUAAAGCUCUUUUACCCGGGAUGAUAAUGACAGUACCGGGAGAAUAAGCCCCGGCUAACUACGUGCCAGCAGCCGCGGUAAU